rnacentral:rRNA from 1 species
UACGUAGGGUGCGAGCGUUAAUCGGAAUUACUGGGCGUAAAGCGUGCGCAGGCGGUUUUGUAAGCCAGAUGUGAAAUCCCCCGGGCUCAACCUGGGAAUGGCAUUUGGGACUGCAAGGCUGGAGUGUGGCAGAGGAGACUGGAAUUCCUGGUGUAGCAGUGAAAUGCGUAGAUAUCAGGAGGAAUACCGAUGGCGAAGGCAGGUCUCUGGGCUAACACUGACGCUCAUGCACGAAAGCGUGGGGAGCAAACAGG